UAACGGUCGUACUGAGCCAGACUUUUUUUUAUUGUUAUUAACCAAGUGGGCGUGGUUUUUACCUUUAAUUAACAAAAUCAUAAGCUCUUGUUUUUCUAUAAUCCCCCAUGUAUAUAUAAACAUAUUUUUUUAUACGGCCAAGUUAGAGUCUGUGUAGCCUGAACUAAGGGAGGCAAAGCCCAACACGGCUCACAUUGUCAUAGCCUUUAAAUACAACCUUCCCCCUCCCCCCCAUCCCUCUGGAGUGGCACUGGUGAAGAAAAGAAACAGUGAUCACAUCUAACAAGAUGUGAAUUGUAUUUGUUCCUGAAUUGUCAUAUGAUUUAUUCUGCCAUUCUUUUAAUAUUGUAAAUUGACAUAGUUGAAUUCUGUUGAAAGUCACAAAAUAUUGCAUUUGUAAAAUGAACGGUGAUGAAACUCGUGAUGACGACGAUAUAUCAUCAGUUACCGGCCAUCAUUUGGAUUUAUCACAGAGCAGUGGAAUAAUGUCUCUUCCAUCAGGAAACAAGUUAGCAGAUUUAAGUAUAACUACAGACAUCACAGAUUCUGAGACAGAAAAUGAAGAAACUGUCCUUGGUUCAAAUAAUCAAAGUAAAAUGAAGAACGAGUUGCAUUGUCCUGCACAUGGAGAUACACCUGCAGUAACAGCCGGUGCUAGUUUACAACCAAGCAUCCUGACUGUUCUGCCUAGAUCAAAUGAAUCUCUUGGAAAUUUUGAUAAUGAAAGAUCAGAUGCUGAAAAGAGGAAUGGUAACUAUAUGCAAACUGACAAACUUCCAGUCAGCACUGCUGAUUCAGCUAUUCUGAAAGUUAAUAAUGCCUCUUUGAAGUUGGCUCCUAUGGCCUCUUAUUCUACUGUGCCUGUUGCUGAGAAUGAAGAAGAACCCUUGACUAUGAAUACUCUGUCCCUUGACGAUGUUAAGUCUGCACUGCAGAAAAAUUGUAAUCUUCUGAGUGACAGACACUUGCUAAAUGAUCUACUCAAGUCUUUAGAUGAUGAAAUUGGUAACAAUUCUGUUAUCACAUCUAACGUCUUGAGUUCUCAUACAAAUCCAACAAUUUUUGUGCCACCCAACAGAGACCCAGGACCUAGCCUAGGGUGGAAAUCAUCAAACAGUUCAAAUAAAGGUAUUUUGGCACAAAAUGUUACUGAGUCUGUAUCUGAUAGUUCAUCAGUACCUUUAACAUGUGAUCCAUUUCAUAUGCAAACAUACAAAAGCUCUUCAUUAAUUGAUAUUCCUGUUUUGAGUAUGAUAAAUAGUCAAAUAUAUUUACCAAAUAAUGGCUCGAGCUAUGAACCACAAGAUCCUGUGAGACCUCGAGCAAACACUCGUAUUCAAAAUAAUCAUAAUAACCUGGAAGUAAUAUCAGAAGAAACAAGUUAUGAUGGACAUUUAUUUAGCUCCAAUUCAUUCACAAAGAUUGCUGACUUUGUAGAAGAAUCUGUUUGUGAUAAGAAUCCGGAAAAGCAUGUCAAUUUUCAACACCUAUGGGUAGAAGAGGUGAAUCCCAGUAAAGUGGUCAAGAAUGACAAACCUACAUCAAGUCAGCCAGAAGUAAGAGUCAAAGAGACUUCAAUGUGCGAUACACAGGCUCAUAAAAUUUUGAAGCAGCUUUCAGGUUUGAGGUGGAGACUUAUGGGCUGGGAGGAAGUAGGUGCCAGUCCACCAACAGACAGCAGGAGCUCACUUGCUUUUAUUCAUCAGCUCUUAAAUAUGCUCCAGGUUCAUCAAAUAGAGAAGAAGAAUUUAUGCACACUCCAGUACAACCAUCGACUUCAGUACCAGAACCUCUACCAUCCACCUCAGCCCUGUAGGGCCACAGCAUAACUCCCCACUCUCUUUACAAUCAUUGACAAACACCAGCACCCACAAUUUAAGCACCUUGAGGAAGAAGUCAUGACAACAAAGGCAUUACUGAAAAAAAUGAGCGAUGAAGUCUACAUUCGGCAAAGUAUGUAUGAAAAGAGGGAAACCCGACUCCUUGAGGCUGAUAACCAACUAGGUGUCAUU